rnacentral:tRNA from 1 species
GCUCCAAUAGUCCAAUCGGUAGAGACGAUGCGCUUAGAACGCAUGCGAUGCAGGUUCGAAUCCUGCUUGGAGCACCA